rnacentral:lncRNA from 1 species
AAUUGUUAAAAAUACCCUUUUUGUUGUGCCCCUUUUCAAAAAUGCCCCUUUUAGAUGUCCAUUUUCAAAAAUGCCCUUUUUAAAUCUGAAAUUUUUAUAAAGUUUUAUUAGGUUUAUAAGGUACUUAUGGAUUGUAACUACUACUUGAAGACUCGAUCCAAGUAUUUAUAAGGUUUUAUAAGGUGUUUUAAAAGGUUUUACAAGUUAUUUUAAAGGAUUUU